rnacentral:rRNA from 1 species
GAGCGAAGCGACGUCAAAGCGUUCAUUAAAGUCGAGUUGGCUUAGGGAUACGUUCGUUGGGUAGGGGAGCGUUCUGUAAGCCUGUGAAGGUGUGUCGUGAGGCAUGCUGGAGGUAUCAGAAGUGCGAAUGCUGACAUAAGUAACGAUAAAGCGGGUGAAAAGCCCGCUCGCCGGAAGACCAAGGGUUCCUGUCCAACGUUAAUCGGGGCAGGGUGAGUCGACCCCUAAGGCGAGGCCGAAAGGCGUAGUCGAUGGGAAACGGGUUAAUAUUCCCGUACUUGGUGUUACUGCGAAGGGGGGACGGAGAAGGCUAUGUUGGCCGGGCGACGGUUGUCCCGGUUUAAGCGUGUAGGUGUGUGUUCCAGGUAAAUCCGGUUCACUUUAACACUGAGGCGUGACGACGAGGCACUACGGUGCUGAAGCAACAAAUGCCCUGCUUCCAGGAAAAGCCUCUAAGCAUCAGGUAACAUCAAAUCGUACCCCAAACCGACACAGGUGGUCAGGUAGAGAAUACCAAGGCGCUUGAGAGAACUCGGGUGAAGGAACUAGGCAAAAUGGUGCCGUAACUUCGGGAGAAGGCACGCUGACACGUAGGUGAAGUGAUUUACUCAUGGAGCUGAAGUCAGUCGAAGAUACCAGCUGGCUGCAACUGUUUAUUAAAAACACAGCACUGUGCAAACACGAAAGUGGACGUAUACGGUGUGACGCCUGCCCGGUGCCGGAAGGUUAAUUGAUGGGGUCAGCGCAAGCGAAGCUCCUGAUCGAAGCCCCGGUAAACGGCGGCCGUAACUAUAACGGUCCUAAGGUAGCGAAAUUCCUUGUCGGGUAAGUUCCGACCUGCACGAAUGGCGUAAUGAUGGCCAGGCUGUCUCCACCCGAGACUCAGUGAAAUUGAACUCGCUGUGAAGAUGCAGUGUACCCGCGGCAAGACGGAAAGACCCCGUGAACCUUUACUAUAGCUUGACACUGAACAUUGAGCCUUGAUGUGUAGGAUAGGUGGGAGGCUUUGAAGUGUGGACGCCAGUCUGCAUGGAGCCGACCUUGAAAUACCACCCUUUAAUGUUUGAUGUUCUAACGUGGACCCGUAAUCCGGGUUGCGGACAGUGUCUGGUGGGUAGUUUGACUGGGGCGGUCUCCUCCUAAAGAGUAACGGAGGAGCACGAAGGUUGGCUAAUCCUGGUCGGACAUCAGGAGGUUAGUGCAAUGGCAUAAGCCAGCUUGACUGCGAGCGUGACGGCGCGAGCAGGUGCGAAAG